GCUCCAGUGGUGCAAACGGUUAGCGCAUGGUACUUAUAAUGCCAAGGUUGUGAGUUCAAGCCUCACCUGGAGCA